CAGCUUGUUGGUGAGGUAGUGGCUCACCAAGGCGUUGACGGGUAGCCGGCCUGAGAGGGCGACCGGCCACACUGGGACUGAGACACGGCCCAGACUCCUACGGGAGGCAGCAGUGGGGAAUAUUGCACAAUGGGCGAAAGCCUGAUGCAGCGACGCCGCGUGAGGGAUGACGGCCUUCGGGUUGUAAACCUCUUUCAGCAGGGAAGAAGCGAGAGUGACGGUACCUGCAGAAGAAGCGCCGGCUAACUACGUGCCAGCAGCCGCGGUAAUACGUAGGGCGCAAGCGUUGUCCGGAAUUAUUGGGCGUAAAGAGCUUGUAGGUGGCUUGUCGCGUCUGCCGUGAAAACCCGAGGCUCAACCUCGGGCGUGCGGUGGGUACGGGCAGGCUAGAGUGUGGUAGGGGAGACUGGAACUCCUGGUGUAGCGGUGAAAUGCGCAGAUAUCAGGAAGAACACCGAUGGCGAAGGCAGGUCUCUGGGCCAUUACUGACACUGAGAAGCGAAAGCAUGGGGAGCGAACAGGAUUAGAUACCCUGGUAGUCCAUGCCGU
rnacentral:rRNA from 1 species